rnacentral:rRNA from 1 species
ACAGCAGUAGCCGCGGUAAUACGUAGGGUGCAAGCGUUAAUCGGAAUUACUGGGCGUAAAGCGUGCGCAGGCGGUCCGCUAAUACAGAUGUGAAAUCCCCGGGCUUAACCUGGGAACUGCAUUUGUGACUGGCGGGCUAGAGUAUGGCAGAGGGGGGUAGAAUUCCACGUGUAGCAGUGAAAUGCGUAGAGAUGUGGAGGAAUACCGAUGGCGAAGGCAGCCCCCUGGGCCAAUACUGACGCUCAUGCACGAAAGCGUGGGGAGCAAACAGGAUUAGAGACCCGUGUAGUCCCUGUCUCUUAUAU